rnacentral:lncRNA from 1 species
AGGGAUCAGGGAGGCGUGAAUGCUAUCAUGAGUGGGACGAGGGAGUUCUGCUCUUACAGUGCCAGCCGAGGUCCGUGGCAACAGAGAAGCCAACACAACUGCGUUCUUGGAACCUGCUUUGGAAGUUUCCAAGUUGGACGGUGAGCCGGACUCACGUGGCCUCAGACUCGCUCUCUAGCCAAGGGUAACCUCUAACUUGCUGAGCCUCUAGGAAGACCACAGCAGAUACCCAAGCUCUCUGCAAAAGCUCCUCAAAUUCCAAUCUCUUCUGGACCCUUCAAGUGCUGGGAUUGCAGAUUGGAGACUAGAGGCACAGGCAUGUAGAAUAUUCUGGUAAAUAACUCGAUGUCAAUGCCUUUGCUCAAAACUGGAGCCGCUGGCACCUCACUGCAGGAAUGGUGAGAGGAAGUGGACUCUCCCACUUUGAGGUUGUGUCCUGAAUAGACUAACAUGUAGCAUCCUGCACCAUGUCCCUCACCAGCCUCUGCAGAGCAACUUAACAGCAAGAAAAACAAAACCAGAGGAAGGGGUGAGAGAAAAAAAAGCAAAUGGGGAACUGAAAAAUUAUUGAAGGGCUGGUGAGGUGACUCAGUGGAAAAAGGAGCUUGCUGUCAAGUCUGAAGACCAGAGUUCAAUUCCCAGGACCCACCUGGUGGAAGUUGUCUUCAAACUGCCCCAUGAAUAUUCAAACACAAGCAUGUAUAUUCAUACAAAAUAAAUAAAUAUAAUUUAAAAAAAUAAA